AGUAACGCGUGAGCAAUCUGCCCUUAAGUGGGGGACAACAGUUGGAAACGACUGCUAAUACCGCAUAAAAUAUUUGGGUCGCAUGAUCUGGAUAUCAAAGGAGAAAUCCGCUUUUGGAUGAGCUCGCGUCUGAUUAGCUAGUUGGUGGGGUAACGGCUCACCAAGGCGACGAUCAGUAGCCGGACUGAGAGGUUGAACGGCCACAUUGGGACUGAGAUACGGCCCAGACUCCUACGGGAGGCAGCAUG
rnacentral:rRNA from 1 species